GGCUCUAUAGUUCAAUUGGCAGAACGCACGACCGAUAAUCGUGUAAUCCUGGUUCAAGUCCAGGUGGAGCUA
rnacentral:tRNA from 1 species